AGAUUGCAUACUUUUACAGGAUGACCUAAAAAGGUUAGAUCUUUACUGCGCCAAAAACUGUCUUGACCUCAAUAUCGAGAAGUGUUGCUGUAUUUCAUUCUCUCGCAAGCGUAGCCCAAUUCAUUUUGAUUACCAGAUUAAGAACAAAAAACUGAAUAGGGUUACCGAAGUAAGAGAUCUUGGUGUGUACACAGCGAGAUUCAGCUCACUUCUCAUAUCGACAAAAUUACGUCAAAGGCAUAUAGAAUGUUAGGUUUUAUUUUCCGACAAAGUAAAAAUUUUAGUGAUCCUCGAACCAUUAUUUUACUUUAUAAUGCCUUUGUCAGAUCGCAUUUAGAAUUCGCUUCGGUCGUUUGGAGUCCUCAAUAUGCAGUGCAUAUUAAUGCCAUUGAAAAAAAUCCAAAAUAAAUUUAUUAAAUGGUUGAAAUAUAGAUUCAAAUUGUUUGAUAGUGAUAACAUGGUAAGUCUCCAGCUGCGCAGGGAGCAAAAAGAUCAAAUUUUUCUGUUUAAAUUACUAAACCAUCUAAUCGAGUCGCAAUAUCUUAUUAGCAAUAUUUCAUAUAGAUGUCCUAAUUCCCGAACUAGAUCCAAAGCUUUAUUUGCCAUUCCAUUCUGUCGUACUAGGUACUUCAAAAACUCAUAUCUUGUUAGAGCAUGCUCUACGUAUAACUCUAAAUAUUCCAAUUUUGAUGUGUUCAACAUGAAGCUGGGUAAAUUUGUCACCUCAAUGAAAAA